GUGUCAGCCGCCGCGGUAAUUCAGAGGUCUCGAACGUUGUCCGGAAUUACUGGGUGUAAAGGGCGUGUAGGCGGGGAUGCAAGUCAGAUGUGAAAUACCGAGGCGUAACCUCGGGGCUGCAUCUGAAACUGUGUUUCUUGAGUGUCGGAGAGGAAAGCGGAAUUCCCAGUGUAGCGGUGAAAUGCGUAGAGAUUGGGAGGAACACCAGUGGCGAAGGCGGCUUUCUGGACGACAACUGACGCUGAGGCGCGAAAGCGUGGGGAGCAAACAGGAUUAGAUACCCUGGUAGUCCACGCCGUAAACGAUGGAUACUAGGUGUAGGAGGUAUCGACCCCUUCUGUGCCGGAGUUAACACAAUAAGUAUCCCACCUGGGGAGUACGGCCGCAAGGUUGAAACUUAAAUGAAUUGACGG
rnacentral:rRNA from 1 species